UACGAAGGGGGCUAGCGUUGUUCGGAAUUACUGGGCGUAAAGCGCACGUAGGCGGAUUGUUAAGUCAGAGGUGAAAUCCCGGAGCUCAACUUCGGAACUGCCUUUGAUACUGGCAAUCUCGAGUCCGGAAGAGGUUAGUGGAAUUCCCAGUGUAGAGGUGAAAUUCGUAGAUAUUGGGAAGAACACCGGUGGCGAAGGCGGCUAUCUGGACCGACAUUGACGCUGAGGCGCGAAAAGCGUGGGGAGCAAACAGGG
rnacentral:rRNA from 1 species